rnacentral:rRNA from 1 species
GGAUCCAGACUUUGAUUCUGGCUCAGGAUGAACGCUAGCUACAGGCUUAACACAUGCAAGUCGAGGGGAAACGACAUCGAAAGCUUGCUUUUGAUGGGCGUCGACCGGCGCACGGGUGAGUAACGCGUAUCCAACUGCCCAUCACUUGGGGAUAACCUUGCGAAAGUAAGACUAAUACCCAAUGACGUCUCUAGAAGACAUCUGAAAGGGAUUAAAGAUUUAUCGGUGAUGGAUGGGGAUGCGUCUGAUUAGCUUGUUGGCGGGGUAACGGCCCACCAAGGCUACGAUCAGUAGGGGUUCUGAGAGGAAGGUCCCCCACAUUGGAACUGAGACACGGUCCAAACUCCUACGGGAGGCAGCAGUGAGGAAUAUUGGUCAAUGGACGAGAGUCUGAACCAGCCAAGUAGCGUGCAGGAUGACGGCCCUAUGGGUUGUAAACUGCUUUUAUAAGGGAAUAAAGUGAGUCUCGUGAGACUUUUUGCAUGUACCUUAUGAAUAAGGACCGGCUAAUUCCGUGCCAGCAGCCGCGGUAAUACGGAAGGUCCGGGCGUUAUCCGGAUUUAUUGGGUUUAAAGGGAGCGUAGGCCGGAGAUUAAGCGUGUUGUGAAAUGUAGAUGCUCAACAUCUGCACUGCAGCGCGAACUGGUUUCCUUGAGUACGCACAAAGUGGGCGGAAUUCGUGGUGUAGCGGUGAAAUGCUUAGAUAUCACGAAGAACUCCGAUUGCGAAGGCAGCUCACUGGAGCGCAACUGACGCUGAAGCUCGAAAGUGCGGGUAUCGAACAGGAUUAGAUACCCUGGUAGUCCGCACGGUAAACGAUGGAUGCCCGCUGUUGGUCUGAAUAGGUCAGCGGCCAAGCGAAAGCAUUAAGCAUCCCACCUGGGGAGUACGCCGGCAACGGUGCAACUCAAAUGAAUUGACGG